GUACAUUUCAAUGAAGCCUGCCAACUCGCAGCUUUGUGCCUCCCAAAAUUCAACAGGGGAGCGGAUGGAUCUGGCCUGUUUGUGACAGAUUGUGACCCACUUUGAGGAAUCCCUGCUUCUGUUCAGACUCCCCAGGAAAUCUUCCAGCUCUUCCGGGCCAACUGGGCUCUGGGCAGACCUCAGGAAACACAGUCUAAAGCCUCUAGCCAGUCUAAAGCCUGUGCUGGGGAUCCCAUGAAGAAAGAACCUACGAGGCUCCUUGCCUCAAGGCAUACAUUCUUUUUUCCCCCUUUUCCUUUUUUGGCUGCUCUGGGGCAUAUGGAGUUCCUGAGCCAGGGAUCAGAUCUGACCUACACCGAAGCUGCCACAAUCCAGGAUCCUUUAACCCACUGUGCCGGGCUGAGGAUUGAACCUGCGAUAUUGAACCUGCAUCCUGGUGCUGCAGAGAUGCUGCCAAUCCCGUUGCGCCACAGCAGGAACUCCAAGGCGUACUUAUUUCUCCUAUUUGUGCUACCUAAACAACUGGAUCUGAGAAGGAACUGGUUCUCUAAUGCCUUUUCUUGCAGUGAGCUCCCAGCAUGGUUUCACGCUGCCCCUGGAAGCAGUGAGAAAGAAGCAUCAAACAGCCAGCCCGUGCUCCUCGGGAAUGUUCACAACUCAACAAGCAAUGACCAGGUACCAAGCAUGCUGCCAGGCACCAGUGAUACCGUGAUGGAUAAGGCAUCGUUGUCGAUCUGUGUGGGAGACAAUCCAUGCGCCUUCCUCGCAGGUGAGAAAACUGAGGCCCAGAGAGGUUAAGGAACUUGCCUGGGGACACACAGUCUGUGAUAGAGGACAGAUUCGAGCCCAGGCUGUCUGACUCCAUUGUUGGUGCUUUUAGCCCCGCGCUAUUCAGCCUCCGGUUCUGGUGCUCUUUCUCUGCGGAUCUUCAUAGAGAAUAAGCCACCACGUGAUACGUGGCAUCCAGGCCAGUGGACACUCUGAAGCCGAGAAGCAUGUGGAUCAGCGCCGACCACCAUCCAUGUGAGAAGAGGAGCCCCCGGGGAGGCUUGAGCCCAUCCAGGUGGACAAAGCUCUCCUUUCUCCCAGGGAUGUUUCCUGGUUGUUGCCAGAGCUUCUCAGGUAACCCCAGUUUGAGUGUCUGAAAUCCCUGUGGGAAGCCCAGCACCUCCAGAGCAAUACCUGGGAUUCUCAGAGCGUCCUAGAACCAGCCUUGGUUUGAGCAGCCGAGCUUUCAGACAUCCAGUUACUGGACACCCGGCCUCUGGGGCCAGCGGUGGGCCACCGGACCUCUCCCCAGGAACACCUAGUGGACACAUCUUGGAGCCUGUCACGGGGUACCUGUGGGCCUGGGUCUGUCUGUAGAAACGGACAAAAUUAUAUCUCACAAGGGUGCGCU
ensembl:lncRNA